rnacentral:rRNA from 1 species
AAGCGGUGGAGCAUGUGGCUUAAUUCGAGGCUACGCGAAGAACCUUAUCCUGGACUUGACAUGUGCGAAAGCGCUAGGAAGUAGCUGCCGGAAACAGCCAGCCAACGGUAUCCAGUCCGGAACCUAGUACAGGUGCUGCAUGGCUGUCGUCAGCUCGUGUCGUGAGAUGUUAGGUUAAGUCCUGUAACGAGCGAAACCCUUGUCCUUAGUUGCAACCGCAAGGGCACUCUAGGGAGACUGCAGGUGUUAAGCCUGAGGAAGGUGGGGAUG